AGGAAGUCAAGGAGAGAUACAUGGCUUGAGGAGCAAGAAAAGACUCAAAGAAUAACCCCUGCAAGUAGCAGAUCCGGGGUCCACGUGAACAAGGAGGUGCCCGGGAGAGGCUGAGUGAGGGAUGCUGCUUUGAGAGGAUGCCAAGGUUAACUGGGAAGCUUGUAGUUUUUAUGAGCUCCAGAAUAUUAUGGAUAUGGUCACACAAAGGUUCCAAAGAGCUCACCCACCCGUCAUCAGGGCCUGCGUGUUUUGAAGGGCUUCCCCCGCUGGUCUGUUCAAUUUAUGGCAUCAUAGUUCUGAAGUUCCCGUAUCCUAGAGCCACCUAGCUGAGUGAUUCUGGCCCAGGGUCUCGGCAGUCAAGCUGUCUCCCAGCUCUGCAGUCAUCUCAUCUGGCUUGACCAGGACUGAAGGGUCAGCUUUCGAGCUCACUCAAGUGUGAUGAGCAGGCCUCAAUCGCCUCAGACGACCAUCUACUAUCGCCAUCCUUAACAUAAAGGAGGCUACGUUUGUAUCAUCACAAUUGCGCGAUUGAACUAUAGGGGAAGAGAAAUGUCUUUUGGUUUCUGAAUGCUUCCUCUUGAUGUUUCUGUUGCCCUUAAAAGAAAUUUCAGUGAUGGUCCGGAUGACUGGAGGCCACAGUGGAAGGAGUAUAGUAAGCUUGUAUUUGAACUGGAAAGAAAAUCAGUGAAUAUAGAAGUUAUUGCAGUCAAUUCACAUUUGAUUGUUCAAGAUUUCUGCGUGGGGAAACAAACCGGGUCAUUCAGGGGGCCUUUCAGCUCUCCGUAAGAGAAAGCUCAAUUAAACAUGACCAACAAUAAGGACAAUUAAAUCAAGAAUUAUAACAAGAAGCCCUAUUAUCUGCUGUUCCAGAGUUAUUGAAUUCAACCCCUCUGAGAGGCUCUGGGCUUUCCUGUGAUGGUGACAAGAUUGUCCAUGCUGGUCCGAGCAUCCUGUCUUUGCACAUCAGUGACCCGGGCCGGCAAGAAGAAGGGCAUGGCUUCCCCGCAGUGAGUUCUGUGUCAGUGCAGAGGUUCUCUUCAGGGUGAAGAGCCAAGGCUGUUCCUCCGGGAGGAUCAGCCCACGGUCCACAUCAAUUAAGUGAAAGAGCCUACAGAUUAGUUACCUGCUUAAGUGUGUGUACCAAGUCAACUUGUCUACUUGGCAGUUAUCUCUUCUUUAUAAAAUAGGACACAAGAGAAAACAUUUGACUUGUGUUUGGUCAGAUUUCCAAUAAAUAGAUAAUUUUAACCCAGAAUAUUUUGAAUAAUCUCAUUAACAUACCUCUGCAGUUGACUUCUCUGGAUUCAAUCUGAAUAUUGCUAGCAAUCGACUGUGACUACACUGGGCCAAACUUCAGAGUCUGGAAUCAUAAAGACCUAAGUUACAGGUAAUGGAGAUGACACCAGUGUCUGGGGCAGUUCAGUAGCAGCAUGAGCAUCAGCCUGAAUGGUGCUCCGAAUACCUAAGUGGGAAACAGAAGGAGAUAGAAGAGUGGACCAUGCAGAGUAUGGAGCAACUCCGAGUGGAGCUGGCCUGGGUCUUGAUGAUUCUAUGGCUCAUCGGGUAUAUAAUCAAUGCCCUGCAGAUUCUGCUAGAAGAGAGCCUUCUGGAAUAGGACUGAAGUUCUGCAUUAUGAAGGUGAACAGCUCGAGUCACUAUAGGUUUAUGAGACUCUUGUGAAUGCCAAGUAUUGAUUCCAGCUACAACAUCUUAUCCAUCCAUUUCAGAGAGGAGGUUGAAUCGGUCAGUUACCUUUCACCUCUCCUGCCAAUGCACAUAAACAUAAAAGUCAUCUUUUUUUUUUUAAUCUAUCCUGUUUACCUAAAUCAAGUUAAAUCAAAUAAAUUUAAAAGCAUUUUCUCUCAUUUGCUCUGUGUUUUAUGAAACCCUGAAUCUCUGCUAGCAGCUAUUUCUAUACCCACCCAAAACAUACCUAGUUACAAAUAGAAGGAACUUUGUGAUGUUAAAAUAUUUAAAAGGAUAUUUGAAGGUUGCUCAUUUAAGAGUAUUGCACUGAUGGUGGGUAGUGAAUAGACAAAUGGAUGGGAUCACAUUUAAACGUGCAAAAUAAAAAAUUGCAUACACUUAGUUG
ensembl:lncRNA